UUAAUUGAAGAGUUUGAUCAUGGCUCAGAUUGAACGCUGGCGGCAGGCCUAACACAUGCAAGUCGAGCGGUAACAGGAGAAAGCUUGCUUUCUUGCUGACGAGCGGCGGACGGGUGAGUAAUGUAUGGGGAUCUGCCCGAUGGAGGGGGAUAACUACUGGAAACGGUGGCUAA
rnacentral:rRNA from 1 species